CCUACGGGAGGCAGCAGUGAGGAAUAUUGGACAAUGGAUGGAAAUCUGAUCCAGCCAUGCCGCGUGCAGGAAGACUGCCCUAUGGGUUGUAAACUGCUUUUGUAUGGGAGCAAUAAGCCCUUCGUGAAGGGUGAUGAGAGUACCAUACGAAUAAGCAUCGGCUAACUCCGUGCCAGCAGCCGCGGUAAUACGGAGGAUGCAAGCGUUAUCCGGAUUUAUUGGGUUUAAAGGGUGCGUAGGCGGUUGGAUAAGUCAGCGGUGAAAGUUUUCUGCUUAACAGGAAAAAUGCCGUUGAUACUGUCUGGCUAGAAUAUGGUUGCUGUGAGUGGAAUGUGUGGUGUAGCGGUGAAAUGCUUAGAUAUCACACAGAAUAUCGAUUGCGAAGGCAGCUCACAAAGCCAUUAUUGACGCUGAGGCACGAAAGUGUGGGGAUCAAACAGGAUUAGAUACCCUGGUAGUCCACACUGUAAACGAUGAUAACUCGCUGUCGGCGAUACACAGUCGGUGGCCAAGCGAAAGCGAUAAGUUAUCCACCUGGGGAGUACGACCGCAAGGUUGAAACUCAAAUGAAUUGACGG
rnacentral:rRNA from 1 species